rnacentral:rRNA from 1 species
AGUGAACGCUGGCGGUAGGCCUAACACAUGCAAGUCGAACGGCAGCACAGUAAGAGCUUGCUCUUACGGGUGGCGAGUGGCGGACGGGUGAGGAAUACAUCGGAAUCUACUUUUUCGUGGGGGAUAACGUAGGGAAACUUACGCUAAUACCGCAUACGACCUACGGGUGAAAGCAGGGGAUCUUCGGACCUUGCGCGAUUGAAUGAGCCGAUGUCGGAUUAGCUAGUUGGCGGGGUAAAGGCCCACCAAGGCGACGAUCCGUAGCUGGUCGGAGAGGAUGAUCAGCCACACGGGAACUGAGACACGGUCCAGACUCCUAAGGGAGGCAGCAGUGGGGAAUAUUGGACAAUGGGCGCAAGCCUGAUCCAGCCAUACCGCGUGGGUGAAGAAGGCCUUCGGGUUGUAAAGCCCUUUUGUUGGGAAAGAAAAGCAGCAGGUUAAUACCCCGCUGUUCUGACGGUACCCAAAGAAUAAGCACCGGCUAACUUCGUG